AUGAUCUUUGACGAUGGACCGAGGAGAAGCAAAAGCUGUUUUUUUUUCAGAUAUAUGAAGAGUGAAAGGGGCAAGAGCUGGUAUUGGACCACUGGAAAACGACACUGGAGCGGUAGACUGGGGGACAACGAGAUGGCAAAAUAACACCAGUGGAAUGCCAGAAAUUUAAGUAUCAGGAGCAGAAGUUAUAUGAAUGGGAGUAGCUGAGAACUGGAAAUUCAAUCUGACUGCACAUCGAGAUCUGGUAGCGCAAUUCAGCAGGACAUGAAUAUCACUGACAGUUGUGUGUGAGAAGAGAUGUUUCCCAUUUGUGAGUGUCAGAGUUUGAAAAGAGCUUUAACACAGCCUGGGGAAGUCCACCUUCCACAGCAGAUAUAAACUGCAUUUUGUGUGAUCAAAACAACAACUGAGCAUCCAACCUGGAGCGUCACAAGGGUACCCGCUCCACGAGGAAACCGUGGAAGUGUGAUGACUGUGGAAAGGGGUUCAGUUCUCCAUCCCAGCUUGAAACUCAUAAGCGUAGUCACACUGGAGAGAAGCCAUUCACCUGCUUACUAUGUGGAAAGGGGUUCACUUUAUCCUCCAGUCUCCAAUUACACCAGAGAGUACACACAAAUGAGAGGCCCUUUAAAUGUUCUGACUGUGGAAACUGCUUUAAAAUCUCUGCAGAUUUGAUUAAACAUCAGCUUGUUCACACUGAUGAGAGACCUUUCAGUUGUUCUCACUGUGAGAAGAGGUUUAGGCAGUCGUCUCACCUUAUUCAACACCAGCGAGUGCAUACAGGAGAGAGGCCACUGACAUGCUCUGUUUGUGGGAAGGGGUUUAGUUCUGCAUCCAAUCUUCGGACGCACCAGCGAAUUCACACUGGAGAAAAAAUGUUCUCCUGCUCCAUAUGUGAAAAGGGAUUCACCCAAUCAUCCAACCUGCUGAGGCACCAGCAAGUUCACACUAAAGAAAGGCCAUUCAUGUGUUCUGUGUGUGGGAAGGGAUUCACUCGGUCAUCACACCUCCUGAGACAUCAGCAAGUUCAUGUAAUUGCAGAGGUUUGAUUCUGCUAUGGAGAACACCUCCAUUUAUUUCUCGUUGUUGGUAACCCCAUGUAACUGAAUUUUACUGCCCUUUUUAUCUGUCUGAUAAAUUAACUGAGGUGUAUAGACAUUGCUUAAUUUACCAAGCUAAGAGAAAAUAAUUGAUAUCCACUGCUGGCUGCUGCAUUUUAAGGCUUCUCUAGAUCAUUUUGGUUCUUCAACAUUUGUUUACUCCUCCAACUCUCCUGGUUGCCCAUUUUGAUCUUGAUAACCAAGUAAGUGAGUAUUAAUUCUCCUUUGGGAGCUAUACAAAACUCACUGUUAUUCACUUUCAGUUAUCAAACACGUUAAGCAGUCCAUGCCAUUUCUCAUGUUUAAUAGGGUAAAAUGUCAUCAGUGCUAAAAAUAUGAAAAAUUCUGCUCGGAAAAUACACAGAUCAGGUAGCGUCUGUGAGAAGACAAAUAGGCUUAACAUUUCAGAGUGAGAUCUCUUCAUCAGCAUUCAUUAGCAUUCACCAUUAAUUGUGCAUAUCCUACCCCUAUUGUACUACCCAUAAUGGACCACGUGUCAGAAUUAAGUUCCAUUUGUCAUCUCUGGCCAGCUGUCUAGCUAAUCUAAAUCCUGUAGCCUUAGACAAUCUUCUGAACUAUCCAUAAUACCUCCAAUUUCCAGGUCAUUUGCAAACAUAAUAAUUGUACCUCCUACAUUCACCUCCAAUUUGAAAAACUAUGUCACAAAGCAAAGAUCCAAACACCAAACCCUCUGGUACGUGACCAGUCACAGAGUAGCUUAUUGGGGGAAAAACUCCGUUUGUCAAUACCCACUGUCACCAAGAUAAUUUUGGAUCUUAGAUGCAAGGGAAACAUGCUGGAAAUAUCAAGCAACAUACAUAAAUUUCUGGAGGAAUUCAGCGGGUCAGUCAGCAUCUAUGGAGGGAAAUAAUCAGGUGACACUUUGGGCUGAGACCCUUGCUUAAAAGGGGGUAGAAGCAGGAAUAAGGAGAUUGGGGGGAGGUUGAUAGUGUUUGGAUCUAAUUAGCCAACUCAUCUUGCAUCCCAAGAGUUCCUUAUGUAUUAGGUAACUAUGUAAGUGAUACUUAAAUCUCCUAAAAGUACUGUAUAAAAUUCAGACAGUAAACCACUUUAUUCUGACCAACCUACCAUGUGGGAUCUUGUCAAAUCCUCCAAGGUCAUUGGAAAUUUUUUAAUCUUGAGGCUUUUUUCUUGCCAUGCCUCAGGAUUUUCUUUGGUUUAUACAUUGCGCUUGUAUUCUGUCCUUUUAAUUAAUCACCUGAAUUAUCUCAGUAAAUAAGUUGAACCACCCACGCUUUCUGCCAUGACAGUCUUUUCCUCUUCAGUCCUGACGCAGGGUCUCAAUCCAGAACAUUAAUGUUCACUUUUUGCCUCCACUGGUACUAUUUGGCCCUGUGAAUCCCUCCAGAAUUCUGUUUUUAUUUUGCUUCAGAUUCCAGCAUCUGUUGUCACUUUACAGCUUUGUCUUUUUUCUCUCUAAUGUCAGAUUAGUUUCUCAGAGUGGUCUUUCUCAUAGCAUUUGGUGUAUAUUUCAGCAGUAAUUUUUGGCUCAAUAUUUCUCCCAUAGGAAUUGUAUAAAAUUUUGUAAAAAUUGUUCUGGAUCAGCCAUCUUUGCCAUCACCCUGUCUUCUGUUAAAUGAAGAACAGUGUCAGGAGUAGACCAUGGGUCCCUUUGAGCCUGCACCACCAUUCAUGAGGGUUGUUAAGACUAUCUCCCAAUGCAAUUUUAAAGUUUCCUUCGUAGUUCAGUUUGUGUAAGUAUAAUUUUACUGCACUAAGGAGUGUUGCUACUCAGAUAUGUUUUAUGUAUUCUCUAGUUAUAUAAAUGCAGUGUAAUUCUAACCAGCCUGAAUGAAUAGUAUACAUUUUCUGUAUGAACUCAGUUUAUAUCAUAAGAGCUUGAGAUGGUUGUUGAGCACUUUCUAAAGUCAGCAUUCUGUCAGUUAUGAUUUGAGUAAGUUUUGGAGUACAUAAUCAGUGGAGGUGUUUUCCCAAGAUCAAUCAGAAGAUGGUGGAAACAAUCAUGUCCAAACUCCUUAAGUACAUUUGUUACAAAGAGGAAUUGAUUUAUACAUAAAGGAAAAUGGAGCAACUGUGUAAUGGUCAAGGAGCCGAGAAAUCCCUUUACCUCUUUGCUGUUUUCACAGAGGCACAGUCAAGGAUUCCCUGGAAUAAGGUAAGUUAAACAAGUUAUUACAUCGCUGACCACAGAGCAUUAUCUACUUAGUGCAAUCAUACGUUUGCACCAUUUUCUCAAUAAAUUGCUACAUCUGAGGGUUUCUGGAAUACAUACUUGGCCAAUGUCCAGAGUGCAUGACUCAUAAAUUUCAUUUUUACAAUUUAUCGGUUACGGUGAGAAGGUAGGUGAAUCUAGUUGCGAGGGAGAUAAAUCAGCUAAGAUGGAAUGGUGGCACAUCCUCAAUGGGCCGAAAGGCGUAAUUCUGUUCCUAUUAUUGCAAUAGUCCUUAUCACUAAAAGGUACUUUAAAAAUGCCUAUGGUCCGUCAGUGUGGGAGGUCCUGAUUAGACAAACAAUUAUUUUCUUUCACUCAGAAGGCAAAGAGGUGAUUGGAAGAGAAGCUUAGGGUGGGGAGAGGCCUUCAAUUUUAACCUGAUGCUAUUUGUUACAGUUAUCUAUUGCAGACAUUUUUCUCAAGCUCGGGCAGACAUAUAUGUGAACUGCAGUGAAGUAUAGUGUUAUGGAAAGCAAACAAGAGGAUAUGACCUCCUCUUAAGCAGAUCUGGUUCAAAGUCUUAAGCCCAGAAACAUGAUACAGAGCAUGUGCAGGAAAGAAGAUAUUCCAGUACAGUAAAGCUAUCUGUGUGUUUACUCUCAUACCCUGAGAGAUCAGUUUAAGACGAUAUUGUAACCACUCAAAGUGACUCACCUGAAGUCACUGAAUAAAAUGCUAAUCAAAAAGCAAUAAGCAAUGUUGGAAGUCUGAAAUACAAUCAGUAAAUUUUGAACUACUUGGCAAAUACGACUGUAACAGCGGGAAGCAAAUUAGUGAACUUUCCAAUUCAAUGAUGCUUUGCAUGAAAGAUUGACUCAGUUUCUUUCUUUGAAUUGAUUGCUAAUGAUAUUUUCAGAAAGUCUUAAAUAAAAUUCAAUGUAAAAGCAUAGUGUGUAAAUUAAAGCUCAUAGGAUUGGAUUAUGCUGCAAUGGAUUGAAAAUGACUCGUAGGAAAGAGAAAGUAGUAAUAAGCAUAGCUUCUUUAGGGUGAGUGUGAUUAGUGCUUUGGUCCCAGCUAUUCCAACAGAUGUCAAUAAUUUCUUCAAAGUAUGGCAUUCAUCACCGAUCAGUGCUGAGGCUAUUGCUUUCUUGGAGUGUUUAAGUCAUAAUUUAAAAGUGUUAAUUAUGUAUUUAAUAUUUGAGUGAUAUUGUAAAUAUUGUUUAAGUAUUCUUGUUUACAUAAUUCAUUUCAGAUCAUAUCUAAAAGUCUUGUCAUUAUGCUCCUAUAUCAUAUGUACGUGCCUGACUAAAGUUAAAAAAAAAUAUGAACUC